rnacentral:rRNA from 1 species
AUUGAACGCUGGCGGCAUGCUUUACACAUGCAAGUCGAACGGUAACAGGCCUUCGGGUGCUGACGAGUGGCGAACGGGUGAGUAAUGCAUCGGAACGUGCCCAGAGGUGGGGGAUAACGCAGCGAAAGCUGUGCUAAUACCGCAUGUGAUCUGAGGAUGAAAGCGGGGGACCAGGCAGCAAUGUUUGGCCUCGCGCCUUUGGAGCGGCCGAUGUCAGAUUAGGUAGUUGGUGGGGUAAAGGCCUACCAAGCCGACGAUCUGUAGCUGGUCUGAAAGGACGACCAGCCACACUGGGACUGAGACACGGCCCAGACUCCUACGGGAGGCAGCAGUGGGGAAUUUUGGACAAAGGGCGCAAGCCUGAUCCAGCAAUGCCGCGUGCGGGAAGAAGGCCUUCGGGUUGUAAACCGCUUUUGUACGGAACGAAAAGGCUCUGGCUAAUACCUGGGGCUGAUGACGGUACCGUAAGAAUAAGCACCGGCUAACUACGUG